rnacentral:rRNA from 1 species
GACGAACGCUGGCGGCGUGCCUAAUACAUGCAAGUCGAACGCAGUUGCGAACGGGUGAGUAACGCGUAGGUAACUGCCUCAUAGCGGGGGAUAACUAUUGGAAACGAUAGCUAAUACCGCAUACUGUGCGAUGGACCUUCGUUGUAUUAGCUAGUUGGUGGGGUAAAGGCUCACCAAGGCGACGAUACAUGGCCGACGUGGGGGGGUGAUCGGCCAAACUGGGACUGGAACACGGGCCAGAAGACUACGGGAGGGAGCCGGAGGGAAUCCUUGCAAAUGGACGGAAGGCUGACCGAGCAACGCCGGGGGAGUGAAGGAGGUUGUCGGGUCGGAAAGGUAUGUUGUGAGAGAAGCGGUAACUAACCAGAAAGGGACGGCUAACUACGUGCCAGCAGCCGCGGUAAUAC